rnacentral:ncRNA from 1 species
GGUCACGAGAUCCAGCGCUCAGCCCCGGCUUGCUGGACGGCAUCCCGCCCGCUGCGGGUGCCCCGGGUGACGACCCGCCCCACGCGAGGCGUGUGGGGAACGGCGGAUC